UCCCUACGGGGCGCAGCAGGCGCGAAAACUUUACAAUGCGGGAAACCGCGAUGAGGGAAUCCCAAGUGCUGGCUCGUAAGAGUCAGCUGUUUUGGUGUAAAGAAAACAUAGAGAGUAAGGGCCGGGCAAGACCGGUGCCAGCCGCCGCGGUAAUACGUGCAGCUCAAGUGGUGGCCGCUAUUAUUGGGCCUAAAACGUUGGUACCCGGUUUAGUAAAUGCCUGGGUAAAUC
rnacentral:rRNA from 1 species